rnacentral:rRNA from 1 species
CAGUAGCCACGGGAAUACGAAGGGUGCAAGCGUUAAUCGGAAUUACUGGGCGUAAAGCGUGCGUAGGCGGUUUGUUAAGUCUGCUGUGAAAUCCCCGGGCUCAACCUGGGAAUGGCAGUGGAUACUGGCAAGCUAGAGUGUGUCAGAGGAUGGUGGAAUUCCCGGUGUAGCGGUGGAAUGCGUAGAGAUCGGGAGGAACAUCAGUGGCGAAGGCGGCCAUCUGGGACAACACUGACGCUGAGGCACGAAAGCGUGGGGAGCAAACAGGAUUAGAUACCCGCGUAGUCCCUGUCUCUUAUAC